rnacentral:rRNA from 1 species
GAUGAACGCUGGCGGCGUGCCUAACACAUGCAAGUCGAGCGAACAGACGAGGCUCUUGCUUCGCUGACGUUAGCGGCGGACGGGUGAGUAACACGUGUAUAACCUACCUAUAAGACUGGGAUAACUUCGGGAAACCGGAUCUAAUACCGGAUAAUAUAUUGAACCGCAUGGUUCAUUAGUGAAAGACGGUUUUGCUGUCACUUAUAGAUGGAUCCGCGCCGCAUUAGCUAGUUGGUACGGUAACGGCUUACCAAGGCUACGAUGCGUAGCCGACCUGAGAGGGUGAUCGGCCACACUGGAACUGAGACACGGUCCAGACUCCUACGGGAGGCAGCAGUAGGGAAUCUUCGGCAAUGGGCGAAAGCCUGACGCAGCAACGCCGCGUGUGUGAUGAAGGUCUUCGGAUCGUAAAGCUCUGUUAUUAGGGAAGAACAAAUGUGUAAGUAAACAUGGACGUCUUGACGGUACCUAAUGAAAAAGCACCGGCUAACUACGUG